rnacentral:rRNA from 1 species
AUGGGGGGGGCCUAUCAUGCAAGUCGAGCGGACAGAAGGGAGCUUGCUCCCGGAUGUUAGCGGCGGACCGGUGAGUAACACGUGGGUAACCUGCCUGUAAGACUGGGAUAACUCCGGGAAACCGGAGCUAAUACCGGAUAGUUCCUUGAACCGCAUGGUUCAAGGAUGAAAGACGGUUUCGGCUGUCACUUACAGAUGGACCCGCGCGCAUUAGCUAGUUGGUGGGGUAAUGGCUCACCAAGGCGACGAUGCGUAGCCGACCUGAGAGGGUGAUCGGCCACACUGGGACUGAGACACGGCCCAAACUUCCUACCGGAGGCAGCAGUAGGGUAUCUUCCGCAAUGGACGAAAGUCUGACGGAACACGCCGAGUGAGUGAGAAAGUUUUCGGAUCGUAAACUCUUGUUUUUGGGAAGAACAAGGGGAAAAUAACUGCUCGCACCUGGCGGUCCUUACAGAAAGCCACGGCUAAUACUGCCGCACCCCGUAAUACGAGGGGGAACGUGUCCGAAUAUUGGG